rnacentral:rRNA from 1 species
GACGAACGCUGGCGGCGUGCUUAACACAUGCAAGUCGAACGAAGUGGCGAACGGGUGAGUAACGCGUAAUCAACCUGCCCUUCAGAGGGGGACAACAGUUGGAAACGACUGCUAAUACCGCAUAAUGAAGGAGGGGAUUGAGUCUGAUGAGCUAGUUGGAGGGGUAACGGCCCACCAAGGCGAUGAACAGUAGCCGGUCUGAUAGGAAGAACUGCAACAUUGGGACUGAGAACCGUCCCAGACUCCUACGGGAGGGAGCAGUGGGGAAUCUUCCGCAAUGGACGAAAGUCUGACGGAGCAACGCCGCGUGAGUGAUGACGGCCUUCGGGGUGUAAAGCUCUGUUAAUCGGGACGCGGUACCGGAAUAGAAAGCCACGGCUAACUACGUGCCAGCCGCCGCGGUAAUUC